rnacentral:lncRNA from 1 species
AACUUCAUAGGUUGAAGAUGAAGAUCAUGAUGAUCUUCAUCUGAAUUUUCCAGAUUUUUCAAAGGGGUCCAGAAAUAAAAAAAAAAUAACACCAAACGAUUCAUCAUGUCAUGUACAUUCAAGAUCCAUAAGCAUUUCAACAUAAUUCAUCCCAACAAACUCAAAUCGAAGAAAAUAAAAUUGAACAUCAAACUUUUAAUCAUGCAUAUCUAGC